AGGGGGCUUCGGCCCCUGAGUAUAGCGGCGGACGGGUGAGUAACACGUGGGUAAUUUGCCCUUGGGUGUGGAAUAACUCAGGGAAACUUGAGCUAAUACCGCAUGACAUCCUUUUCCCAUAAGAGGAGAGGAUCAAAGCCGGGGACCCUUCGGGGCCUGGCGCCUGAGGAGAAGCCCGCGCCCGAUUAGCUAGUUGGUGAGGUAAUGGCUCACCAAGGCUUCGAUCGGUAGCCGGCCUGAGAGGGCGGACGGCCACACUGGGACUGAGACACGGCCCAGACUCCUACGGGAGGCAGCAGUGGGGAAUUUUUGUCAAUGGGGGAAACCCUGAACAAGCAACGCCGCGUGAAGGACGAAGACCUUCGGG
rnacentral:rRNA from 1 species